rnacentral:rRNA from 1 species
AAUGUAUAGUUAACCUGCCCUCGAGAAAGGAAUAACAGUUGGAAACGACUGCUAAUGCCCUAUAUGCCUUUAAGACAUAAGUCUGCAAGGGAAAUGCUUUUGUGCUCGAGGAUGGGACUGUAUGGUACCAGUCAAUGACGCCUAACUGGUUUGAGAGGAUGAUCAGUCACACUGGAACUGAGACACGGUCCAGACUCCUACGGGAGGCAGCAGUGGGGAAUAUUGCACAAUGGAGGAAACUCUGAUGCAGCAACGCCGCGUGGAGGAUGACACUUUUCGGAGCGUAAACUCCUUUUAUAUAGGAAGAUAAUGACGGUACUUUAUGAAUAAGCACCGGCUAACUCCGUGCCAGCAGCCGCGGUAAUACGGAGGGUGCAAGCGUUACUCGGAAUCACUGGGCGUAAAGAGCGUGUAGGCGGAUAGAUAAGUUUGAAGUGAAAUCCAAUGGCUUAACCAUUGAACUGCUUUGAAAACUGUCUAUCUAGAAUAUGGGAGAGGUAGAUGGAAUUUCUGGUGUAGGGGUAAAAUCCGUAGAGAUCAGAAGGAAUACCGAUUGCGAAGGCGAUCUACUGGAACAUUAUUGACGCUGAGACGCGAAAGCGUGGGGAGCAAACAGGAUUAGAUACCCUGGUAGUCCACGCCCUAAACGAUGUACACUAGUUGUUGCGAUGCUAGACAUUGCAGUAAUGCAGUUAACACAUUAAGUGUACCGCCUGGGGAGUACGGUCGCAAGAUUAAAACUCAAAGGAAUAGACGGGGACCCGCACAAGCGGUGGAGCAUGUGGUUUAAUUCGACUAUACGCGAAGAACCUUACCUGGACUUGACAUAGUAAGAACUUUCUAGAGAUAGAUUGGUGUCUGCUUGCAGAAACUUAUAUACAGGUGCUGCACGGCUGUCGUCAGCUCGUGUCGUGAGAUGUUGGGUUAAGUCCCGCAACGAGCGCAACCCUCGUCGUUAGUUGCUAACAGUUCGGCUGAGAACUCUAACGAGACUGCCUACGCAAGUAGGAGGAAGGUGAGGACGACGUCAAGUCAUCAUGGCCCUUACGUCCAGGGCUACACACGUGCUACAAUGGGGCAUACAAAGAGCAGCAAUACGGUGACGUGGAGCAAAUCUCAAAAAUGCCUCCCAGUUCGGAUAGUUGUCUGCAACUCGACUACUUGAAGUUGGAAUCGCUAGUAAUCGUAGAUCAGCAAUGCUACGGUGAAUACGUUCCCGGGUCUUGUACUCACCGCCCGUCACACCAUGGGAGUUGAACUCAUUCGAAGCGGGGAUGCUAAAGUAGCUACCCUCCACAGUGGAUUCAGCGACUGGGGUGAAGUCGUAACAAGGUA